GCGUUGGUGGUUCAGUGGCAGAAUUCUCUCCUGCCACGCGGGAGACCGGGGUUCGAUUCCCCGCCAACGCA
rnacentral:tRNA from 1 species